rnacentral:tRNA from 1 species
UCUGGUGGCUCAGUUGGUAAAGAACCUGCCUGAAAUGCAGGAGACCUGGGUUUGAUCCCUGGGUCAGAA